rnacentral:siRNA from 1 species
AGAGACUCAGAGGUGGAAUUCAUA